rnacentral:rRNA from 1 species
UAAAGCGAGCGCAGGCGGUUAGAUAAGUCUGAAGUUAAAGGCUGUGGCUUAACCAUAGUACGCUUUGGAAACUGUUUAACUUGAGUGCAGAAGGGGAGAGUGGAAUUCCAUGUGUAGCGGUGAAAUGCGUAGAUAUAUGGAGGAACACCGGUGGCGAAAGCAGCUCUCUGGUCUGUAACUGAUGCUGAGGCUCGAAAGCGUGGGGAGCGAACAGGAUUAGAUACCCUGGUAGUCCACGCCGUAAACGAUGAGUGCUAGGUGUUAGGCCCUUUCCGGGGCUUAGUGCCGCAGCUAACGCAUUAAGCACUCCGCCUGGGGAGUACGACCGCAAGGUUGAAACUCAAAGGAAUUGACGGGGGCCCGCACAAGCGGUGGAGCAUGUGGUUUAAUUCGAAGCAACGCGAAGAACCUUACCAGGUCUUGACAUCCCGAUGCCCGCUCUAGAGAUAGAGUUUUACUUCGGUACAUCGGUGACAGGUGGUGCAUGGUUGUCGUCAGCUCGUGUCGUGAGAUGUUGGGUUAAGUCCCGCAACGAGCGCAACCCUUAUUGUUAGUUGCCAUCAUUCAGUUGGGCACUCUAGCGAGACUGCCGGUAAUAAACCGGAGGAAGGUGGGGAUGACGUCAAAUCAUCAUGCCCCUUAUGACCUGGGCUACACACGUGCUACAAUGGCUGGUACAACGAGUCGCAAGUCGGUGACGGCAAGCUAAUCUCUUAAAGCCAGUCUCAGUUCGGAUUGUAGGCUGCAACUCGCCUACAUGAAGUCGGAAUCGCUAGUAAUCGCGGAUCAGCACGCCGCGGUGAAUACGUUCCCGGGCCUUGUACACACCGCCCGUCACACCACGAGAGUUUGUAACACCCGAAGUCGGUGAGGUANCCUUUUAGGAGCCA